rnacentral:siRNA from 1 species
CCAUAUUAUCGAAAAUUCUAGU